rnacentral:lncRNA from 1 species
UGCUUCAAGUUGUCUAUCUAUUUUAUCCCUCCUUUAUCCUCGAAUUGACUUGAUUUUUUUUUCUCUUUUAUUAUAUAGACUAGACCUAGUCUGCUGCGGCAAGGCAAGCAUUAGACGGGAGUGCUCGCCUUCUCAGAGGGUCAAAGCCUCAGUUUUGUUUGCCCUUUUAGAGCCUCUGAUUUCUACUCUCCAUCGUGCUUCGGCUUCCUGUUUCGUCGUAUUGAGAGUAGUGAUUUAAAGAAAGUCAAAUUGAAGCUUGAAAUGACAAUUUCAAAAUUACAAGCCCAGUGAAAUAGAUGAGAUGAUUUUUAUUUUUAUUUUUGAAAGGAAGAAGAUAAAAUUCUUCGAGCUAGCCAUAACAUGUAAAUCAACUUGCUAGGACAAAGAAUAAAAUGUAUUAAAAAUAGUUUAAGUUUGGGGUGUAUAUAUUCUUACAUAAUUUUUUGUGAGACGAUGUGGUAAAAUUAUAUUAGAUUCUCUUACGCAAUUGGUUGUGAGACAAUUUGGCAAAAUUAGAUUCUUGUCAUAUGUGUACUUACUAUUAUCUAAUUGGCUGUGAAGUAAUGUGGCAAAAUCCAAUGGAGAGGGUGUACACACUGAGAAAGUCCAAGUUUGUUGUAAAGAAUAAACAUGAAUUAUAUGUAUGAUUCAUAUGUUAAAUAGCUAUUUAGUAUUGCAUCAGACAAAGUUGUUUUGCCUCAAAUUAAGUUUGCAUUUUAAUUGCAAGAAGGACUCUCGUUAUGUUCUAAUAAAUUUCUAUCAAUAACGAACCAAAGUAACAAACUUAAGCUUCUGAACAUCUCUUUGCUAUAUGUAUUUCUAAACGACGUCAGCUAAAUUAAAGGUGAAAACAGAUUUGUGCCAGGCAAUUGCAGCAGAGAUCGGGCGGAGCUGAAACUUUAGGAAUUAGGCACAUCUCAUUAACUGAAAAAAAGAGUGGAAAGAUGUGUGUUUGAUCUGGUGAUGAGGUUUUCAAUCGGACGCAGCAGCCAGCAGGUAACUCCUUACUACAAAUUUAAUAUUUUGAUCGAAAUAUUUAAUACCGGUGAUUAGCUUAGUAGACGGGUUAUGUUCAUGUGUUAGAAAGACGAAUUGCUUUUGUAUUCUUCUUCUAGUUUGAUGAGUUUAAUUUGUUCUCAUCUGUCUGUAAUGUCUCCAGAGACCACCAGAGAUAUGUCUCCUGUGCUCGUUAAUAUAUAACUAUGCAAUUGCAUGUUUCUUGCCUCAAAUAUGAACCGUUUCAAACAAAUCAAAUUAAUCAGCAAGGUGAAGCUUAAGUUUGUUACUUUGGUUCGUUAUUGAUAGAAAUUUAUUAGAACAUAAC